ensembl:lncRNA
CAUUUAAGGACUGACAGCCACUCUUGAAGGAGCUCUGGUUGCAGUUUUCUCUUUUGUGGACUUUUCCCUGUGAGCCUAUAUCUUUAGAGACAGGCACCUAAAACACAGUUGGCAGCUGAAGGUGGACUGCAGCAGACUGCCUGGUCAUGGCACCUGCCUCCUUAUCCAGACCUACACACAGACAGUCUCUCCUGGAGCCAGCCAGUGAGGCUAGAGGCACUUGGGUAGAGAUUGGCCCAGGCUCUUAGGGGGAAAGCUCAGCUGUCACAAACGUGGGUCUGAAAAACUGAUUGUUUUGCAUGAUCAUUCUCACCUGUGAUCCUGCAGAUCACUGCUCACUCAGGAUGAGAGCUAUCAGCCCUACAGCCUUCUGUAGGGAUGUUAAAAUUGUUGUCUCACAUGCAAGUAGGAGGGUGGCAUGCAGGAAGUGCCACACUUGUUUUAAGGGCAGUGGAUGUACCCUGCUAGAGACCACCAUUAGAGUUUUAACUUCAAGCUUCAUCAGGCACCAUGUGGAAGCUACAAGUAAUCUUGCUCAUUCUAGUGGAGAGCUGCUGUGCUUAACGAAAACUCCAGUCAACGACUUGAACAAAAAGAUAGGACCCCUCUCAGAAAGAAAUGGGCUGAGAUACUGAAUCAGUCAUUGCAAGAUUUUCUUGCCUUAUAAAGUGAUUUUUUAAAAUUGCCUAUUCAUUUUUGUAAAGCACUGUGGUUGGAUGUGCUGGACAAAUCAUGUCUUACUCAGUGCAACCAGCAAACAUGGAAAAAAAUUAGGAACAAGUGCUCCAUGCAACAGCAUACCACUGGGAGAGUCCCCCAAGAACAUCCUGAAAAAUGAAGACCAGCUGGGGAGCCUACAGAGCUAAAAUUCACCGGGUGGAUCCUGACUGUAAAGGUCAGAGACAUGCAUUAACAGGAUAUCAUACGGAAAGUGGGUGUGGUGGAAGGCAAAAUGAAGACCGUUUCAAACUCAUGGGAUAACCUGGGUCCAAAUGUUUCAAGGCCUGGUGCUAAUAAAUGGCUCUUUCUGAAGCUUCAUUUCUUGUCUGCUAUGAAAUUACUCAGUGAAAGUCAGGAAUACUUGUUUGUUUGUUUGUUUGAUAAAUCAACCAGAUACUUGGGAGUUGGAAGCACUGUUGCUUGAGCUCGAACAUCUCUUAUUCCCAUUCCUCUCUGCAGAUCAGUUUUUUAGAGAAAGGAAGCAGGAAGGAAAGAAUCACAGAGAAUCUGGUAAAGGCACUAGAGAUACAGCAAAGACACUGAAAUGUCAAGAGUAGCAUAAAAAUAUGUUUUUCUUGAGUCACAAGCACGUUAUCAGGAGAGGACAUGAUAU